rnacentral:rRNA from 1 species
UUGGAGAGUUUGAUUCUGGCUCAGAACAAACGCUGGCGGCGUGCCUAAUACAUGCAAGUCGAACGGGGAAAGUAGCAAUAUGAGUACUAGUGGCGCACGGGUGAGUAACGCGUGGGUAUCUGCCUUGAAGUGGGGGAUAACAAGUCGAAAGAUUUGCUAAUACCGCAUAAGACCACUUUUAUUAGUGGUAAAAGAUUUAUCGCUUCAAGAUGAGCCUGCGUAAGAUUAGCUAGUUGGUAGGGUAAUGGCCUACCAAGGCGAUGAUCUUUAACUGGUCUGAGAGGAUGACCAGUCACACUGGAACUGAGACACGGUCCAGACUCCUACGGGAGGCAGCAGUAGGGAAUAUUGCGCAAUGGGGGAAACCCUGACGCAGCGACGCCGCGUGAGCGAUGAAGGCCUUCGGGUCGUAAAGCUCUGUCGUAUGGGAAUAAACAAAUGAAUGUACCAUGCAAGAAAGGAUCGGCUAACUUCGUGCCAGCAGCCGCGGUAAGACGAGGGAUCCUAGCGUUGUUCGGAAUCAUUGGGCGUAAAGAGGGCGUAGGUGGCUAUUUAAGUCAGUUGUGAAAGCCUGGGGCUCAACCCCAGAAGUGCAAUUGAUACUAUUUAGCUUGAGUGUGGAAAAGGUAACUAGAAUUCCUGGUGUAGUGGUGAAAUACGUAGAUAUCAGGAGGAAUGCCGGUUGCGAAGGCGGGUUACUAGUCCAACACUGACACUGAGGCCCGAAAGCGUGGGGAUCAAACAGGAUUAGAUACCCUGGUAGUCCACGCCAUAAACGAUGAAUACUCGUUGUUGGAGGUAUUGACCCCUUCAGUGACUAAGCUAACGCGUUAAGUAUUCCGCCUGGGAAGUACGGUCGCAAGAUUAAAACUCAAAGAAAUUGACGGGGGCCCGCACAAGCGGUGGAGCAUGUGGUUUAAUUCGAUGCAACGCGAAGAACCUUACCUAAUUACAGGUGCUGCAUGGCUGUCGUCAGCUCGUGUCGUGAGAUGUUGGGUUAAGUCCCGCAACGAGCGCAACCCUUGCCUUUAGUUGCCAGCAUUCAGUUGGGCACUCUAGAGGGACUGCCGGUGUUAAACCGGAGGAAGGUGGGGAUGACGUCAAGUCCUCAUGGCCCUUAUAUCUAGGGCUACACACGUGCUACAAUGGCGGUCACAAAGGGCAACAGCAAAGCCGCGAGGUGAAGCUAAUCCCAUAAAAGCCGUCCAAGUUCGGAUUGCAGUCUGCAACUCGACUGCAUGAAGUUGGAAUCGCUAGUAAUCGUGGAUCAGAAUGCCACGGUGAAUACGUUCCCGGGCCUUGUACACACCGCCCGUCACACCAUGAAAGUCGGUUGUACCAGAAGUCGCUGAGCUAACAUUGAGGCAAGCGCCCAAGGUAUGAUCGAUGAUUGGGGUGAAGUCGUAACAAGGUAGCCGUAGGGGAACCUGCGGCUGGAUCACCUCCUUUCUAAGG